GACAGAGGUGCCAAGCGUUAGGCGGAAUCACUGGGCUUAAAGCGUGUGUAGGCGGAAUUCUAAGUACCUUGUGAAAUCCCACGGCUCAACCGUGGAACUGCUGGGCAUACUGGGCGUCUUGGGCCAACUAGGGGCAGCCGGAACAAGCGGUGGAGCGGUGAAAUGCGUAGAUAUCGGAAGGAACGCCGGUGGCGAAAGCGACGUGCUGGACCCUUUCUGACGCUGAGGCGCGAAAGCCAGGGGAGCAAACGGG
rnacentral:rRNA from 1 species